AACUUUGAAUAUUCUUUUUAUUUCCAAAUCUUAUUAUAAGAAGCCAUUCCAUCUAAGUUUCAGGGUACCAAGACUUGAAGCUUGACUUGCUGCCCCUACUAAAACUUCCUGAACUGCACCAAAAACCUGCUGCACUACGAUUUCCACCAGUGAACAUGUACCUUGAACGAUAUUUCAACAUUAACAACACAGUAGUAAAUGACUUUAUUACUGACGAGCUACAACGGUCAAAAAGAACAAUUACAAGCCAAUUAAGUCUCCAAUUAUACUCAGAUAAAGAUUUCUUAAGCAGUCAGGAGAACCUUUAAAGGCCCCCAACGGCUAUACAAGAACAGGCUAUAAUAAGCCAUCAAAUACUAGAAGAAAGGUACGCACACCAAAAUAUACAGAAUUACAUUCUUAUUCUCUAAUAGAUAUUAAGAAGCUUUCUGACUUAGUCAUGAGACCAUUGGUUGAUGCCACUCCGACACAUUCUCUCUCAUCUUUGCAAGGAACAUCACCUUGUUAGGACUUAUACAAGGUCCAUGAUUGACGACCACUUUUGUCAUCAUCAGUUUGGCGCCAUUUGUGGGGAUUGAGUUCUGAAUCAUACAAAUUUUUGUAGCUCUACCAUUUAAGUGACAUGAUGAAUCCAAGUUCAUCAACUCUAUUUGAUUCAAUGUAGAUGACCUAGCAAAUUCAAACGCUGAUAGCAAGCGUAGAAGAGCUAGUCAAACAAAAAUUGGAGUUGAGCCAAUGCAUCUCUCAGGAGAAUAGCAAUGUGCCACCUCGCCAAUGUAACUAGAACAACAAUGAUGAAGAAGUUCAUAGCCCACAGAAUAGUCAUAAAGAAGAAAGUUCUAGGUGUUUAGAAUAGUCAAAUUCCAGGCAAACAAAACAAUCCAAUCGAAACAAUGACGAGGUUGAGGAAAGAAAUGGACGAAAUGAAAAGUGCCUUGAAAGGAAAGUCGUCCAGGAACUCAGAUGGAAUACUCAAGAGAACAGAUUCAUUGUUCACUGGCAUGGUCCUAGAAUGCCCUCUCCUAUGGGUGUGCUCGAUUUGAUUUCGGUUGGUUUUUAUGGGUAUGGCCAAUCGAAACCGAAUAUUUCGGUUUGUGAAAUUCUCAAACGAAACCAACCGAAAUGGCUAGAAAUCAAUUGGUUUUGGUGUAUUUUGGUUUUAGUUAGUUUUGGUCAGUUUUUGGUUUUCCAAAGAGAGGGUUAUUGAGAAAUAAAGAUUUUUAUUUUUUUAUUUUAUUUUAUUUUAUUUUAUUUUAUCAAACAGAGAUAUUAUUGAAAGAAAAACACAGUAAAAACAUAGACCCUAUUUUCAACACAAAAUACAUAGUAACUCAGUAAAAACACAGACCCUGUUUUCAACAAAAAAUACAGAGCAACACAUUAAAAACCAUAAAACACAAACUAAGAUUAGUAGCUACAAAGUUUCUUUAAAACAAACAUCACGGGAUGACACAAAACCCAUGGAAUCCCAGUACAAGCAUGGGUGAUUUGGGAUGAGAUAAACAAAAUCAAGAAGUAGCAAGAAACGAAGAGACCGAAUUGGUACCAGCAUGGGUGAUUUGGGAUGAGAGAAACAAAAUCAAGAAGAAGACAUACCAUAGCAAGAAACGAAGAGACCAAAUUGGUGCUUAGAAAAAUAAGAUGUAUGCGGAUAUCAAAAAAAGAAAAAGAUGCAAGGUAUGUAUUUGUGAAAGGGAAAGAAAAGUGGGUGAGGGAUUGAGGGGCGUGUGUUUGUGAGAGGGAGAGAAAAUUGGGUGAGUGGCGACUAGGGUUAUAAGUUAUAUAUAAGAUGCUAGGAUUUAUUUU